UGCAUAUCAAUAAGCGCGGAGGAAAAGAAACCAACAGGGAUUGCCUUAGUAACGGCGAGUGAAGCGGCAAAAGCUCAAAUUUGAAAUCUGGCCCCUCCGGGGUCCGAGUUGUAAUUUGGAGAGGAUGCUUCGGGUACGGCCCCCGUCUAAGUGCCCUGGAACGGGCCGUCAUAGAGGGUGAGAAUCCCGUCUGGGACGGGGUGCCUGGGUCCAUGUGAAGCUCCUUCGACGAGUCGAGUUGUU
rnacentral:rRNA from 1 species